UGAACGCUGGCGGCGUGCUUAACACAUGCAAGUCGAACGGGAAACCUUUUAAUGAAGCUUCGGCAGAUUUAGCUGGUUUCUAGUGGCGGACGGGUGAGUAACGCGUGGGUAACCUGCCUUAUACAGGGGGAUAACAGUCAGAAAUGACUGCUAAUACCGCAUAAGCGCACAGGACCGCAUGGUCCGGUGUGAAAAACUCCGGUGGUAUAAGAUGGACCCGCGUUGGAUUAGCUUGUUGGUGGGGUAACGGCUCACCAAGGCGACGAUCCAUAGCCGGCCUGAGAGGGUGAACGGCCACAUUGGGACUGAGACACGGCCCAGACUCCUACGGGAGGCAGCAGUGGGGAAUAUUGCACAAUGGGGGAAACCCUGAUGCAGCGACGCCGCGUGAAGGAAGAAGUAUCUCGGUAUGUAAACUUCUAUCAGCAGGGAAGAUAGUGACGGUACCUGACGAAGAAGCCCCGGCUAACUACGUG
rnacentral:rRNA from 1 species